CAGCCGCCGCGGUAAUACGUAGGGUGCAAGCGUUAAUCGGAAUUACUGGGCGUAAAGCGUGCGCAGGCGGUUAUAUAAGACAGAUGUGAAAUCCCCGGGCUUAACCUGGGGGCUGCAUUUGAUACUGGUUGGCUUGAGUUCGGAAGAGGGUUGUGGAAUUCCCAGUGUAGAGGUGAAAUUCGUAGAUAUUGGGAAGAACACCGGUGGCGAAGGCGGCAACCUGGUCCGAUACUGACGCUGAGGCGCGAAAGCGUGGGGAGCAAACAGGAUUAGAUACCCCAGUAGUCCCUGUCUCUUAUAC
rnacentral:rRNA from 1 species